AUGGAUAAUCCACAAAUAAGGUAUCAGUUCCAAGCAUACCUAUUCUAAUUGCAACAUUGUUUUGAUUUCAUUGACACCGAUUUUAAGUUUUUUAAGAAUCUUGAUAAUAAGGAUAUUUUUAAGGAACCAAUGGUAAUUAUAUUAAAUUAGAACCAAAAUCAAAACGAACUGAAUGAAACAAUAUCUCAAUCAGGAAGAAAAUCUUGUUUGGUUCUAAACCCUAUUGAGUUCCAAAUUCAAAAAUUUUUUGAAGCAGAUAAUGUUUUGAGAAAACCUUAUGAGCACUCAAAAGCAUUAGAGAAAUCAUCUGGUAUUAGCCAUUUUGUGAACGGUAAUGUGUGGAGAAGGAUAAAGGAUAAAUAUAAACAGGAUGAGUAUGUUCUACCUAUCUGGCUAUACGCCGACGAGUUUGAGAUUAACGAUCCACAGAGUUCACAUUGCAAAAUAGAUUCGAUUUGUAGUAUAUACUACACAUUUCCCACGCUACCGGAUAAGUACAAAUCAAAACUGGUUAAUAUUUUUAUAGCAGGUGCGAUCAGAAAAGUGGUUAUAGAUGCAACUGGUGUAAACAAACUUAUUGCAGCUUUGAUCAUCCCCUUCAAAAAAAUUGAAUCAGAUGGAAUUAUUAUAAAAUCGGGCCAGCAGAAAUUUAAAGUUAGAUUUGUUCCUUGCUUAUUUCAAGGCGAUAAUCUAGGAGUCCACUCUUUAUUAUUACUAUCGGGAAGAUUCAAUGCAAAUUUCUAUUGUCGAUUUUGUCGUAGACUUAGGUUGCAGCUACAAACUGACUGUAAAGAGCACGUUGAAUCGUUGAGAAACAGGUAUAAUUAUGAUCAGGACGUUGCCGUUGGUCGUCAUUCAGAAACUGGAAUUGCUGGUAAUUCUGCAUUUAACGAAUUAGUAUCAUUUCACGUGAUCGAAAAUUUGAGUGUGGACGCAAUGCACGAUUUGUUUAGCAACGGUGCUUGCAGUUUUGAACACUAGACUGAAUUUCAUUAGCCGAUCUUCUUUGGAUGCGAGU